rnacentral:rRNA from 1 species
UACGGAGGGUGCAAGCGUUGUUCGGAAUUACUGGGCGUAAAGCGCGUGUAGGCGGCCUUUUAUGUCAGGUGUGAAAGCCCUCGGCCCAACCGAGGAAGUGCGCCUGAAACUGAUUGGCUUGAGUACGAGAGAGGAGGACGGAAUUCCUAGUGUAGAGGUGAAAUUCGUAGAUAUUAGGAAGAACACCGGUGGCGAAAGCGGUUCUCUGGAUCGAUACUGACGCUGAGACGCGAAAGCGUGGGGAGCAAACAGG